AUUGAACGCUGGCGGCAUGCUUUACACAUGCAAGUCGAACGGUAACAGGCCGCAAGGUGCUGACGAAUGGCGAACGGGUGAGUAAUACAUCGGAACGUGCCCGAUCGUGGGGGAUAACGAAGCGAAAGCUUUGCUAAUACCGCAUACGAUCUACGGAUGAAAGCAGGGGACCGCAAGGCCUUGCGCGAACGGAGCGGCCGAUGGCAGAUUAGGUAGUUGGUGGGAUAAAAGCUUACCAAGCCGACGAUCUGUAGCUGGUCUGAGAAGACGACCAGCCACACGGGGACUGAGACACGGCCCAGACUCCUACGGGAGGCAGCAGUGGGGAAUUUUGGACAAUGGGCGAAAGCCUGAUCCAGCCAUGCCGCGUGCAGGAUGAAGGCCUUCGGGUUGUAAACUGCUUUUGUACGGAACGAAAAGACUCUGGUUAAUACCUGGGGUCCAUGACGGUGCCGUAAGAAUAAGCACCGGCUAACUACGUGCCAGCCGCCGCCGUAAAAC
rnacentral:rRNA from 1 species